CCUUGAUUUCCAUAAUUUUGACUGUGAUUAUUCUCUUGGGGACUUUGUGGAUGUCUCGCUUGUAAUUCAGCCAUAAAAUUUGCUUCUUGAGCGUAUCUACGUUGAAGUUCUUGUUGCCAACCGCCAUCCGAUUCGUCUUCACCAUCAUCUUCGAAAUCUAAUAAAUUUUGAAAUUUUAAAAAAUAUAUGAAAAAUUUAGGGGAAGUUUAGGCUAAGCAACUUUCACAGGUAUUUUAAUAUCAGCAGACAUUUAUUGAUAUCGUUCUGUAUAUUGAUUCUUUUACCAUUUCAUAUUUAUCAACAACAAUUCUUUUCAAACACUCUCUCUUAACAGUCAUUAAUUUAAUGUGAACAUACUAAUAAGUUAACAAUAAAAUACCUCAGGAAAUAUAACCACAAAUACACGUGGUUACAAAUAAUAAGCAAUCUAAAGUCAGGAAAAGGAACACAGGAAGUUAGAAAAAAAAUGAAAUCUUCACCAAAUAAAAGGAAAACUCUUCAGGAUUAUCAUGGAGAUGUUUGUACAACAACAAAUGGAGGCCACAUCGAACUGUACUGAACAAGUAUGAAAUUAGGAGAGCUUUCCUUUUAUUUGGUGCUGAUUUCACAUUUCUAUUUUGCCUUGUUCCUUUCUUGUGACCGAUCAAAAGUGCAUUAUGACUUUAUGGACACACUGUAUAUCAAUAUUCUAUUUUAGCUUGCAAGAAAAAAGUCCUUUUGGGAAUCGUGUUGUUCCUCCAAUCUAUGUGUCUAUGCCACUACCAAAGGCGUAUGAAAUGGAAAAAAUCAUGUCAUUGUCUUGAGUCUUUUCCUGCACAUUGUAAUAUUUGUUCCAGUUUCUCUUGAUUCUUUUACAUCUUGAUAAUCAUGCCCAAUUUGUAUCAAAAUUUUAUUUAUUCAAUAAUACUCUCAGCAUCUCUGAAUAUAGUAUAAAUCAAGCAAAAUUGUCCCGAACUAUGUUACAAAGGAAUCAUCUGAUGCCUAUGAGAGAGAGAAUGACUCAAAGAUUAAAGUUAUAAAAAGUACGAGAUUAUUUUGUUGGCCACUUAACCGUAACUUCCCCUAUAAGAAAAAGAACUUGUUAAAAAUAAAUUUCUUACCCUUUUAAAAUUAAAAAUAAAUGUAAAAAGUGUUAAUUUAGAUUUCAUUAAUCUUAAUGUGUGUUUUGUGCCGUUUGAAAUAAAAAUAUUCUUUUUUUGUGAACUUGGAAAUAUUCUUUAUUACUGGGUGGUGUAAACUAUUUUUGAGACGAUCAUUAAAGUACAAAAAACAAAUACUUUUGGC